GACAGAGGCCUCAAGCGUUAGGCGGAAUCACCGGGCUUAAAGCGUGUGUAGGCGGAUCGUUAAGUGUCUUGUGAAAUCCCACGGCUCACCCGUGGAACUGCUGGGCAUACUGGCGAUCUUGGGCCAACUAGGGGCAACUGGAACAAGCGGUGGAGCGGUGAAAUGCGUAGAUAUCGCUUGGAACGCCAAAGGUGAAAACAGGUUGCUGGGGUUGUGCCGACGCUGAGACACGAAAGCCAGGGGAGCAAACGGG
rnacentral:rRNA from 1 species